rnacentral:piRNA from 1 species
UUGAUUUCUUUCAUUGUAGGUCUUGGA